rnacentral:rRNA from 1 species
UGAUAACCUUAGCGGCGCACGGGUGAGUAACACGUAUGAAACCUGCCCGUAGCAGGGGGAUAAGCGGAAGAAAUUCCGUCUAAUACCGCGUAACAACCCGAGGAGGCAUCUCCUCGGGUUUAAAGGAAGCGAUUCCGGCUACGGAUGGUCAUGCGUCGCAUUAGCUAGUUGGCGGGGUAACGGCCCACCAAGGCGACGAUGCGUAGGGGUUCUGAGAGGAAGGUCCCCCACACUGGUACUGAGACACGGACCAGACUCCUACGGAAGGCAGCAG